GGAUAAUUUGAAAGUUGUUAACUCGCUGCUAGUCCUAAUCCUGUCCCCUUCAAUUUCCAUAUACUUAGCAGCUAAUUACUCCUCUACGGACCCGGGGAGAAACAUUUUCAGGUAAUUUUCCCCACCCAUAGCUGCUCGGAGGCCCACCCUGGAAGAAGCAGGGAAAACCUGGGCUUGUUUUUAUGGGUGCCACACCUAUGGCACCGGCUCCACCCCGCAGGGAAUUCCCACGGUAAUUGCAGGGCGCAGAAUGCCGGCAAACACUCGGCCGGCUCCGGCUCCAGAUCCUGUAAAUGGAGUAGAAAUCCUCACGAAUGUGCUCGGCCUUUUCGCAGUCCUUGUCCCUGUGAGGGUUUUCUGUGCUAGUGCCUGUCUCCUGCAGCCCAGAGCCCAGCCAAGCUGUAUCUGCCCAGCGCAGAGAGCUCUCAGGGCCUUUGCAGCUGCCUGAGACAGUGUGGGGGUUGGGUUUUGUUCUGUUUUGUUUGGGUUUUUUGGUUUGGUUUUUUGGGGGGGAGGGUUGUUUGUUUUGCUGCUUUUUUUUGGUUUGUUUUUGUUUGUUUCCCCUGCUAAACAGUGAAUAAUGGGGUUUCCUCCAACAAGACUGACCUGGUCUGGUCUGUGCCUUUACCUCUUGUGGUCAGACGGGCAGUGACAUCUUUCCACCCGUAGCUGAAACCUAACUGCGUUUCAAACACUGCAGUGCAGACCAUGGCAAAACCCCCUGCAGAUGAUGCAAGAGGAGUGGUGCAGGAGCACGGGAGGCAGAAGAUGGGUUUGUGUGCCUUGCCUGCCCCUCGCAGCUCACAGGAUCCGCCUGCCGUGGGCAAAGGGCCACAGCCUCAGCUGCCAUCUCAGCUACUGGCGCAGCAAGAAGUAAAGGUCCUGCAGGCUUGUUGGAAACAUCCUCAAGUGUUUCCUUCUCCAGGCAAAUGAGUGGGAGAGAUCCCAGCUGAUACUUGGACUAGGGAAGGACAUUUCAGCUCAGCUUAUGGACCAAGCCUUCUGUUUCUGCAGUAUUUCAGAGCAGCACAGUGCUGCAGGGGGUUACAUGGGACCAGGAUGGGGAGCACAGCUGAUUGUCACUGACUCCAGUCAGCAUGUGGCCCUCUGAGGCUGCACACAGUGGAACUCGGGUGCCAACCCAGUGUUUUCCACUUGAUUCACUAUGAAAGUGGAUGACAGCAGCGUUAGAAAAGAUCAUAUGAAGCAGAAAAUGGCAUAAGGCACCUUACGUGCCCUGUUAAGCAGUGAGUAUUUUCCUCUCACUGCCUGCAGACAGUGCAAGGGGCAUGGGAGCAUCCUCCUCCUGGCCAGGGAGCUUGUGCCCAGCUUGGAGUGAGAGCAGUGGAGGACACUGCCUGCCUGCACUAGGGAAGUGAGAAACUCUUUAAUGAGAGCUGUCAGGUGCACUGUGUUUGCUUUGCUCUGGGUGAUUCCCCAGAAAACCACAGUCCAGGCCAGGCGAGUGGCUUGGCGCCGGCUCUGGCACAGCUCCCCUGCUGGAGUCUUCCACAGGAGCUGCCACAGCAGCUCCUGCAGCAGCCAGGCACACACUAAGCAAAAAAAAAAAAAAAAAGAAAAAGAGAGUGGAGACAGAAAGAUGAUCCUUCUGGCUGUUCCCAAGCCCAAGAGAAAGUCGUGCCUUAUCCCUAGUUUCUUCCUUCCAAACCCAAGAGCAGGAGUUGCAAGUGACCACAGGAAACACUCCACUUUCUGAGAAAGAAACUCCAAACACCUAAAAGCAAACAAACAAAAAACAAGCCAAACCCCCCUAAAUACAACAAAGAAAACCAAACAAAAACAUCACCAAAACCAAACAAACACCCAAACAACAAAAAACAACCAAAAAAUUAUCUGUGUAGUGCACACAUUUACACUGAAAUCCAGUACAUCCAGCUAGAAAUUGCAUCAGCUUGAUCCAGGUGUAAUUUUGCUGUGAUGAUAGCCAUUUCAGCAAAAGUCUUCAGCUGUACCUCUCUGCCCUGACCUGCUUUGGCUGCCUGACAAUUGCCUUUCCCCUUCCUCAGUUUCUGCAACUUUCUGUGUUUCUGCCCCCCAACCCUGACACUCACUGGGAAGCUUUCCUGGGUUCUCAUAGCUGUUGUGGGCAGUGUCAUGUAGCAACAUUCAAAACCAAGUUUUAUCUGGCUGCUUCAUGGCAAUUGUACACUGGCAUCUGAUUUUGGUCCUUCGAAGUGAGAUCCUCUCCUAUUUCAGUAUUUGGAUCUUUCUCCUCAUUGCUCAUCUGCCAUGCCCGUGUUUAGUUCAGCAUGUUAACAUUUACAGUGACUUCAUGGCAAAUCCACCCUGCAGCUCUCUGCAUCCAAAGGAAAUGGGAUAAAGAAGGGCACUGGCAGCUCAGCUAUGACACAGUGUCCAUGAAGCAGAAAGAUCAGCUUGAACACCUGCCUUGCUGGCUUAAAGAGAGUGGAAGUGGUGAAGCUCUCCUUGAUGAGCAGCAACAAGUCAUGGCAGCUGAGUCACCAAGACACCUACCUGUCAGCAGGUGAUCUGGGACACGUCAGCCAUCCCAGAGGACCCACGUGGGAUGGCACGUGCUGCUCACACGGCAAAGGUUCAGCUGUGCAUGUUACUGGGGAGAUGGAAGGUGGCUGUCACACCACAGUUCACAUAAGAAGUGAAGGGAGCCCUGCACAUAGUGCAGGACAGGUACUUUUACUUUCAGUGCUGGUUUUGUUUAUACAGCCUGGGUGGAGGCAGGAACCCCACCAAAACAAGCUUACAAAAGGAACAUUUCAUUUGUGGAAGGAACAUGGAAUUUCCCAAGGGCAUACACUUGUGUGUGUAAGUUGCCAUUUUCCCUGACAGUUUCUCGUGGCAGCCCCAUUUCACAGCAUGGCCAGUAUCUAUUUCCCUGCUGUCCUCCUGACCUUGAUUGCUCAUCUGAGGGGGCCCCUCUCCUACCUCCAACCUGCUCUGUGCUCCCAAGUUCUCCUGCUGGCUUCACCUGCUCAUUCCCAUGAUAAGCCUUCAAGGCCCUCUCUGUCUUUUUUAUAUGGAAAGUGCACAAACUCCACCUCUCCUUUCUUGUAGGCUCAGCAAAGCCUCUUCCUGCUGCUAGGAAGACUUGCUGCUCCUUCCUGUCCUGGCAAUUUGGUGGACUUCUAGGAGGGUUCUGCAUGGUUUGGGCCACAAGGAUUUUCAUUCUUCUAGAUCCAUCUCUGGAAGAGGUUUUCAGUCUCCCUGCUCUCCCUUACUCCUCCCACUGGAGCUAGAUUCCCCUUGAAUGGCUGAUGGACUAACUACAGUGCAGUUCCCUAUGCUUGCUUUGGGCAAAAUUGCACAGGUUAAUUUAAAUUAAGGCAUCCUGGCUAGCUCUGCCUGAACUGAACUAGAGGAAAACUCAUGCAAUCCUCUCUGCCAGCUGUGAUAGGAGUGCUGUGGCAGCCAGGCAGGCCAGGGUCAUCAGCUCUUCCACCUGCAAAGCUGGGCUCAGCAAGCCAUGUGCUGUGCUGUCCUUCUCCACAAGGGGCCAAAACCAAACCAGCUCUGUGCUAAGCAGAGGGGCUUAGCUGGUUAGCCAAGGAGGUUAGCUGGAAGCACUAGUCACAGGUUCUGCUGGAAGAUCUGCCUAUCCUAACAUCCAGACUCCUCAGAGGCUGGUGCUGGCUCUUUCCUCAGCUCUGGUGUGAACAGCACUGGCUCUCAAAGCUUUCCUCUUUUCCUCCCGAAAUAUGCCAAAGUUAACACUCUUCCAGGUGAACAUAAUAAACUUCCAGCUAAGGAAUCCACAUGGGAAAGGGGUGUCUUGUCCUGCAGUGCAAAGGCCAUGGAAAUGAGGCCUGACCUCCAUGUAGGAGAGAGACAUCUCCCUCCCUCCCUCAUGCCACAGAUUCAGGACAGUGGCACAGGGUCAGGAGCAGAGUGCAAGAGUGUGGGAUUAGGUUGCUUGGCCAGGAGGGAAUAAAGGUCUAGCAGUCCUUGAGUGAGCCCAUUGAAAGGUCCCACUUGGGUGAGGCCCAUGUGGCUGAAGCUCUCUUCACAGAGAGCAGCAGGCACAACCUGCCCAGGAUUUCCCCUGGGGAAGACAGUGAGAAAGCUCAGAGAAAGAAGAGAAAACAAUUCUUAUCUUUAUAUGCCGCUCCUGUUGUUUGGCACAUGUGGAAUGUGUUAUAGAGAUUGUUUACCAAAGGUGAUUUGUUAAUUGGACUCUGGUGAUGGUUGUUUUGAUUGAUUGGCCAAUUAGGACAGAGCUGUGUUGUGACUGUUUGAAAGAGUCAUAGGUUUUCUUUAGUUUAGUAUAGUAGUAGUAUAGUAGUAAUACAGUAUAAUAUAGUAUCGCUUAAUAAAACAUUUCUUCAGCCUUCUGAAAUCAUUGGAGUCAUUGCACGUUAUUCCUGGGGGUCGUCCUGCAUCGUCACACCCAAGCAGAUGCCUGGCUGUUCAGGUGCUUCCAAGCCAAGAGAGAAGCCACUAGUGAGUAGUACAUACUGCACGAGCAUGGAGUUGCUGAGCACAGGCUUUCCAGAUGCUGGCUUUGGAUACAGGCUUUCACAGCCUAGCAGCAUCCCAGUUUAGGGUUUGAAAUCUCUUUUGGGAUCCAUGCCCAAGUGUCAAUUUCCACUACUGGACAGAAAGUAUUUUCUCCUGAAGCAGGGAUGAAAUAGAUGCUGUAUUCCUGUGGCACUUUAGAAUGCCCUUUUGUAGGCCCUGCAGCAUGAACCCCAGCUGGGAGUGGAUUAUAUUGCUGUUAGUUGUCCUGCUGUUGGGUAGUUAAUAUAGACACCAACAUGGACAGAAGCAUCGCCCUGCACAGGCCUGAACUACUAAUUGCUAAGAGCCAAAGUGAUGGUGAGGUUAUUUAUAUCUCAGCCUUCCCAGCAUUGGUCAUGGCUGAAGACAACACACCAGACUGGAAAGACCUCUGGGCUGGUGAUUGGGGUGGUCUUAUUGAGUGUCAAACUCAGCCAGUUCCUCAACAAGCUAUUUUCUUCAUGUAACCCUGUGUUUUCUUCAUGUAACCCUGACACAUCUUGCAAUAGCCUGGCUGGAAAAUCUAUUGCAGCACAGAGAGCAAUGUGAGCAGCACCUUCAGUGGCUCCAUGUGUGCCCAAGGUUGAUCAUCCCUGACAUUAAUUAUGGGUUUGCUCCACCCCGAGGAUGAGGCCUGUGUUUUCCAGUAUAAUCACAUGAGCUCAGAUGGCCCCAAGCGCAGCUUUGAU